rnacentral:lncRNA from 1 species
AUGCUCUGCCGGGACCCCAAGGGCAAGUGUAAGUAUGCUUAGCCUACAGCCAGAGAGAUAGGAGUAAGGGGUGCCAGGGCUGAGAAUCCACUCUACCCAUUCUCUCCUGCAGAUGGCUAUGUGCCCAGAACUGCAUUGUUGCCCUUGUAAGUGUUGGUCCUUCCUGGGUGGAGUGGGGAACACCAGGGUUGGCCUCUGCUGACUAUAUUAUGCUCUCUCUGCCAGGGAAACUGAAGUAUAUGAUGAUGUCAGCUUUGGGGACCCUCUGGACACGCAACCAUUUCCUCAGGGACAGUAUGGCAGAUAAGUGGGUUCCAGGACCAACAGUCCAGCCACUGCUCACUCAGGAGCCCUGGAUCCCAGCCUGGCAAACAGACACCCAAAGGAAUGUGCUUACAUAAAAGUCCUCUUAAAA